rnacentral:pre_miRNA from 1 species
CUAGUACUCCCUCCGUUCGGAAUUACUUGUCUCGGAAAUGGAUGUAUCUAGAACUAAAAUACGUCUAGAUACAUCCAUUUCUGCGACAAGUAAUUCCGAACAGAGGGAGUACUAG